rnacentral:rRNA from 1 species
UACGUAGGGUGCGAGCGUUAAUCGGAAUUACUGGGCGUAAAGCGUGCGCAGGCGGUGAUGUAAGACCGAUGUGAAAUCCCCGGGCUCAACCUGGGAAUUGCGAUGGAGACUGCAAGGCUAGAAUCUGGCAGAGGGGGGUAGAAUUCCACGUGUAGCAGUGAGAUGCGUAGAGAUGUGGAGGAACACCGAUGGCGAAGGCAGCCCCCCUGGGUCAAGAUUGACGCUCAUGCACGAAAGCGUGGGGAGCAAACAGG